rnacentral:rRNA from 1 species
GAUGAACGCUGGCGGCGUGCCUAACACAUGCAAGUCGAGCGAACAGACGAGGAGCUUGCUCCUUUGCCGUUAGCGACUGACGGGUGAGUAACACGUGGAUAAGCUACCUAUAUGACUGGGAGAACUACGGGAAACCGGAGAUAAUACUGGAGAAUAUAUUGUACCGCAUGGAUCAGUAGUUCAAGACGGCUUUGCUGACACUUAUAGCUGAUGCCGCGUCGGAUUAGUUAGUUGGUAAGGUAACGGCUUACCAAGGCGACGAUGCGUAGCCGACCUGAGAGGAUGAUCGGCCACACUGGAACUGAGACACGGUCCAGACUCCUACGGGAGGCAGCAGUGGGGAAUCUUGCACAAUGGGCGAAAGCCUGGUGGAGCAACACCGCGUGAGUGAAGAAGGUCUUCGGGUCGUAAAGCUCUGUUGUUAGGAAAGAAAAAAUGUGUAAGUAACUAUGCACGUCUUGACGGUACCUAAUCAGAAAGCCACGGCUAACUACGUG